rnacentral:rRNA from 1 species
UACGGGGGGGGGCAAGCGUUGUUCGGAAUUACUGGGCGUAAAGGGCUCGUAGGUGGCCAACUAAGUCAGACGUGAAAUCCCUCGGCUUAACCGGGGAACUGCGUCUGAUACUGGAUGGCUUGAGUUUGGGAGAGGGAUGCGGAAUUCCAGGUGUAGCGGUGAAAUGCGUAGAUAUCUGGAGGAACACCGGUGGCGAAGGCGGCAUCCUGGACCAACACUGACACUGAGGAGCGAAAGCCAGGGGAGCAAACCGGG